rnacentral:rRNA from 1 species
AUUGAACGCUGGCGGCAUGCCUUACACAUGCAAGUCGAACGGCAGCACGGGAGCAAUCCUGGUGGCGAGUGGCGAACGGGUGAGUAAUGUAUCGGAACGUGCCCAGUCGUGGGGGAUAACGUAGCGAAAGCUCCGCUAAUACCGCAUACGAUCUAUGGAUGAAAGCGGGGGAUCGCAAGACCUCGCGCGAUUGGAGCGGCCGAUAUCAGAUUAGGUAGUUGGUGGGGUAAAGGCCCACCAAGCCUGCGAUCUGUAGCUGGUCUGAGAGGACGACCAGCCACACUGGAACUGAGACACGGUCCAGACUCCUACGGGAGGCAGCAGUGGGGAAUUUUGGACAAUGGGCGCAAGCCUGAUCCAGCAAUGCCGCGUGCAGGAUGAAGGCCUUCGGGUUGUAAACUGCUUUUGUACGGAACGAAACGGCUUUUUCUAAUACAGAGAGCUAAUGACGGUACCGUAAGAAUAAGCACCGGCUAGCUACGUGCCAGCAGCCGCGGUAAGAC